rnacentral:rRNA from 1 species
UACGUAGGGUGCAAGCGUUGUCCGGAAUUAUUGGGCGUAAAGAGCUCGUAGGCGGUCUGUCGCGUCUGCUGUGAAAACUCGGGGCUUAACUCCGGGCCUGCAGUGGGUACUGGCAGACUAGAGUGCGGUAGGGGAGACUGGAAUUCCUGGUGUAGCGGUGAAAUGCGCAGAUAUCAGGAGGAACACCGGUGGCGAAGGCGGGUCUCUAGUACGGUACUGACGCUGAGACGCGAAAGCGUGGGGAGCGAACAGG